rnacentral:rRNA from 1 species
GACGAACGCUGGCGGCGUGCUUAACACAUGCAAGUCGAACGAUGAAGCCAGCUUGCUGGUGGAUUAGUGGCGAACGGGUGAGUAACACGUGGGUGAUCUGCCCCAAACUUUGGGAUAAGCCUGGGAAACUGGGUCUAAUACCGAAUAUGACCGAUACUCGCAUGGGUGUUGGUGGAAAGCUCCGGCGGUUUGGGAUGGGCCCGCGGCCUAUCAGCUUGUUGGUGGGGUAAUGGCCUACCAAGGCGACGACGGGUAGCCGGCCUGAGAGGGCGACCGGCCACACUGGGACUGAGACACGGCCCAGACUCCUAUGGGAGGCAGCAGUGGGGAAUAUUGCACAAUGGGCGCAAGCCUGAUGCAGCGACGCCGCGUGAGGGAUGACGGCCUUCGGGUUGUAAACCUCUUUCACCAGGGACGAAGCGAAAGUGACGGUACCUGGAGAAGAAGCACCGGCCAACUACG